ACUGCAAGAGCGACCGACGAGACAUGAAUAAAAGUAAAAGCAAAGUGAAAAUGGCAAAAUAAUGAAAAAGAAGACUUACGCUUUCCUUUGACUGCAAACGACACUGAAAUUUCUGAGACGGAGAGUCAAUGCCAGGAUCGUCGGUCUUGAGCACACUCGAGGGACUUGUUGCAGCCUCGACACGAUCCCUCGAGAACGUGCACGUUUUGGAUGGACGUUACGGGUCGGCAGUUUCCUCAACGUCAUAAUAUCUACUCUACUGCGACCCGCAGGUUCACCAGACUGCAACUCUCCCUCUUUCUCGUUCACACCGCUGUCUUGCUCCUCACGAUCGUGCAGGUGCGAGGAUAAUCCGCGACGUAGCGGCCGGACAACGGUCAGCGCGGCUGCGCCAGCCGUUUCAACCCUCUCUGCGUCGCGCGACUCAUCGUGCAACCACCCCGACGAAACGAAAGUGAAUGGCCCGUAGCGUGUACGAUCAAAACGCGACACCGCGUUCGAUAAAAGGGACUAUUGGGGAAGAAAUGUCCCGCGUAUAAAUUAUUCAAGAUGGAUUACUUGUUUCUUUCUCUUCAUAAUAAUGGAUGUUGUCAUUUUGAGUAUUUUCAAUGGCAUUUUUUCUUCACGACGCAUACUGAGAUAUUUGCAUCGAUAUGCCGGAAAGAAUUAUUUUUGUACGCAAAUCAUAUUGAAUUGAAGUGAAUUUUUAUUUUCGUACAGGAUAAACAGAUGAAAUAACUACCUAAUAAAAAAUGUAGCUAUAUCUUGAAAUCACAUUAUACUUAUCUAUAAUAAGUAUUAACUUAUUAUAAAUAAUUAGCCAUGUCACUGCGCCACGCCAGAAAAAUUACUGAAAAUUCUCAAUGCGAGAAUUGAUUGUAAAUUUUAAUAAAUAAAAAAAAAUCUUGAAAUCACUAA